GUUUAAAGAUCUUGUUCAUUGCACUAAUAAGACUUUCUUACACAGAAAUAAGAAACUAACAGCUGUGAUUGGUGUGCAUGACUUAAAAAAAAAGAAGGAGAUGAUUGCAUCAGAGUGAAAUCUUACUACAAGCAUCCAGACUUUAACAAUCGCACUUUGCAGAAUGACAUUAUGCUUUUGAGGCUAAAGAAAUAAGUUGAACAAAACAAGAUUGUCAAGACAAUUUCCAUACCAAUACAAGAGGAAGACAUCAAAGCUGAUUCUGUUUGCAGUGUUGCCAGCUGGGGAAGACUGAGGUUUAAAGGGAAAUAGAGCACAUGUCUCAUGGAAGCAGAUGUGAAGAUCAUGAAUAACACGGAAUGCAAAAAUAAAUGGAAAGACAACUACUCAGCCUCACAGAUGAUGUGUGUCUAUGGCCAUGGAGGGAGAUUCAGGAGGUCCUUUGGUUUGUGGAGACACUGCAGUCAGUGUCACAUCCUUUGGUGACCCAAAAGUCUGCAAUAUUCAUGAAAGACCUGAAGUUUAUGCAAAGAUUUCAGAAUAUCUUUCAUGGAUCUGGUCCAUAAU